rnacentral:rRNA from 1 species
GAUGAACGCUGGCGGCGUGCCUAAUACAUGCAAGUCGAGCGAACAGACGAGGAGCUUGCUCCUCUGACGUUAGCGGCGGACGGGUGAGUAACACGUGGAUAACCUACCUAUAAGACUGGGAUAACUUCGGGAAACCGGAGCUAAUACCGGAUAAUAUAUUGAACCGCAUGGUUCAAUAGUGAAAGACGGUUUUGCUGUCACUUAUAGAUGGAUCCGCGCCGCAUUAGCUGGUUGGUAAGGUAACGGCUUACCAAGGCAACGAUGCGUAGCCGACCUGGGAGGGUGAUCGGCCACACUGGAACUGAGACACGGUCCAGACUCCUACGGGAGGCAGCAGUAGGGAAUCUUCCGCAAUGGGCGAAAGCUUGACGGAGCAACGCCGCGUGAGUGAUGAAGGUCUUCGGAUCGUAAAACUCUGUUAUUAGGGAAGAACAAAUGUGUAAGUAACUAUGCACGUCUUGACGGUACCUAAUCAGAAAGCCACGGCUAACUACGUG